rnacentral:rRNA from 1 species
AACGAACGCUGGCGGCAUGCCUAACACAUGCAAGUCGAACGAGACCUUCGGGUCUAGUGGCGCACGGGUGCGUAACGCGUGGGAACCUGCCCUUAGGUUCGGAAUAACUCCCCGAAAGGGGUGCUAAUACCGGAUAAUGUCUUCGGACCAAAGAUUUAUCGCCUUUGGAUGGGCCCGCGUUGGAUUAGCUAGUUGGUAGGGUAAAAGCCUACCAAGGCGACGAUCCAUAGCUGGUUUGAGAGGAUGAUCAGCCACACUGGGACUGAGACACGGCCCAGACUCCUACGGGAGGCAGCAGUGGGGAAUAUUGGACAAUGGGCGAAAGCAUGAUCCAGCAAUGCCGCGUGAGUGAUGAAGGCCUUAGGGUUGUAAAGCUCUUUUACCCGGGAUGAUAAUGACAGUACCGGGAGAAUAAGCUCCGGCUAACUCCGUG